AUGUCAUAGUGACACAUAUUUUCUCUGAGAUAAGUAUUUUCAAAGUGUAUAUUUGUUAAGUUUCUAAUGGACUUUUAUUAUUUUCAGCAUUAUUGAUUUUUCUGAGGUCAUGUUUUCGAGUGACAACAGGCUGUCAACGUAUACGAGAGGAGUAAAAUAGGAUAAUUAUUUGGACAUCAGAGUAACUGGCUACCUUGUGCGUAACUGUUAGAAUGCACUUGAGGCAUAGGAACAUUAGGACGAUAUGCCCUCAAGAAAUGUAUAAGAGUGAGGUAUAAUUCAGCUUAUUAAGGGUCUGUUCUGAGGCUUAGGAUGCUCAGGAUGGGCCAGAAAUAGUUAUUCUGCCAAAUAGUAAUUUAUUUUUGAGUUGGGAAGCAUGUCGAUGCUGUACCUGGACACUCUGGAUAGACCAGGAUAAGGAAACCUUGGGAAUGUGGUAAUUCCGUAAAUUCCUGUUUCUGGAGUUUAUGGGCUCUGAUAUGAGCAAAUAAAUAUCAUGCGUCAUGGAGCUGGUGUUCAGCAAGUAUCAGGUUAGGAGUUGUUCAACUCUGAAGGAUCAAGGAUGCAUGCUGGAAUUUAAAGGCAACAGUUUGAGAAUGGUGAAAUGUUUUUAUAAAAAUUAUCUAUGUUAUUUACUUUUGUGAAGUUUUUCAUCAUCAAUUAUAUUUUUAUCGAGAAAAUGUAAUGAGACUUAGCUUCAUACCAUAGAUUAAUAAAAUGUUAUUUAACUUUA